GUGAGGUGUAGAUCUAUGGCUGUGGAACAAGUAUGUCAUGCCUGGGAGCUCUCCUGUCCUCUGUUUUGAACUCAGCUAAAGCAGAGCCUUGCCAGCCUCAGAAAGGGACAGCUUCUGAGCGCCACCAGUGACUCGCUUGACCAUUAGCCCAUUUGACCUGAGUGUCAGGAAACGAGACAGGACAGUCCAUUAGCUCUGGCCAGUGGAUGGAGGGUCCCAAAGGAGCAAAUCUUUCCUGGAGAGGCUGGGAUGGCCUUUUUGCUGAGCCUGACUUCAGAGAAGGGAGAUGAGCUUGGCAGCUUUCCAGUGCAAUUGAAUCCCUAACCAUGGAGGCUUCCACUGCUGACUAGCAUCCCUGGUGCCACGCGGUGAGGUCUUGACUUGCAUGUGAGCUGGGUUUCAAUGAGGCAGAGUUGCCCAACGUCUUCAGCCUCGCUCUCUCCUCCAGAGUCAGCAAAGUCCAGUAGAAGACAAAAGUCAGCAUGACUUGCAAUGGCCCGGGAUGCAGGGGAUGGCCUUGGCUUCUUUCAUGUCUGAGCAGGCUCUAAGCACUCUCUAGCUCCUGCGUCGGGCAUCUUCACGACCACUGGAACAAAUUGUCCUCGUCUGCCCUCUCUGCUGGGGAAGUCUUCCCAUGCUUGGAGUGGACACUCCCCUUUGCAUAUAUACCAUCUUUCCAAUUUGUGCUCAUGCCAUAGCCUCCUCCCUCCAUCCCCACCACAAUAGAAUGGAAACUCCACCAGGGCAAGGAGACAACGUAGCUUUUCUCCUCUUUGCUGGCCUGAGUUUUUUCAUAAACGGUUGGACUCCUGAUAAAUGCUUUUUGAUGCCAGAGAUGAUGCUAAUGUCAAGAUCUGAUGUUUUCAAAC
rnacentral:lncRNA from 1 species